AUGUUAGCCCAAUCUUAUCAUAUGAGCUAAGGCAACCUUAUCAAAUCCUGAAAAAUAACUGGACUGGGCUAGGCAGACCAACAGGUAGACGAAGAGGCAAGCCACAUCAACGGCGGCCGCCGCCGUAACCUCCAUCACCACCGUCCUAGACAAGAGAGAAAACGAAGCUGACAAAGGAGGAUGACCAUCGAUCAAAGACCAGCUGGAGCUAUCGUAUCUCUCCAUCUCGACGGAGCUCUCGCUCUUAUCCUACCCACUAUCCAACUUCAGCUUUGAAGAUUAGACUUGUAGGUGAAGUAGAAACUAAAUAUCUUCAGCAAUUUCGGAGUACACACUCUUCAGCAAUUUCGGAGUACACACUCACUCGAGCUAGAGGUGCUAAAAAUUUAUUUCAAAGUCUGAAUACUCCAAAUGUAACAACAGAUGAUACUCCCGAAGACCCCAAUGACAAUGCCAUGCCACCAGGUCAACAACUUCAAUACUGAACUGAUUUUUUGACUACAGAACAAGAUCGACACAAUCAACGUGUUCAAUGGGAACAACACGUGGCUGAUCAGUUUGAUGCAUUUGCCACCGCUUAGAACUCGUUAAUUCAACAAUUUGUUGAGUUUCGUGUGGACACUGAAAUACGUCAUGAGGUUACAAGCAAUCUCAUUGAUCAAAUUGAGCAUCGAGUCAAUGAGAUCUACCAUCACUACUUCCCUCCACCACCACCUGACAAUGACCUUUGACGAGUUUGGAUAAGAGAUUGGAUGUAUUACAAAUCUAUGUGCUUUUUGGUUGUUAUGGAUGUACUAUUACUUUCCAUUUUUUCAUUUUUGUGUUUUUUGUACUACUUUUAUUUGUUUUUUUUAUUUUUAUUUUUAUGGAUAUACUAGUGGUUGGUCUUUUUAUAUUUUUGUUA